CAACCAAGGCCUUUUCAACGGCUCUGCCGGUUUGCUCGGUCUCGGCCGAAACAACAUCUCCCUCGUAGAACAAACCGCCAUGAAAUACAACCGCUUCUUCUCCUACUGCCUUCCGUCAACUUCCAGCUCCACCGGUCAUCUCACCUUCGGCAACGGAGGAGGCUCCGCUAACGGCGUCAAGUUCACCAAGCUCACCACGUUAUCCGAAAGAGAGUCGUCGUUUUAUGGCCUCGGCCUCACCGGCAUCAGCGUAGGCGGGUGCCAGCUGCCGGUUGCGUCCUCGGUCUUUUCGUCUUCGGGAACCAUCAUCGACUCGGGGACGGUGAUCACGAGGCUGCCGGCGACUGCAUACACGGCUUUGCGGGACGCGUUUCGGGAGGGUAUGAAAAACUACACGAUGACUAUGUCGUUUUCGCUGCUGGACACGUGUUACAAUGUCAGUGGCUACGAGACGGUGUCGUUUCCGGAUAUUGCGUUUGGAUUUGGGGACGGGGUUACGGUGGACUUGGACGCGGCCGGGAUAUUGUUGGCGGUAAGUGAUUCGCAGGUUUGUUUGGCGUUUGCGGGAAACAAGGAUGAUAGUGACAUUGGGAUUAUUGGGAAUGUUCAACAGAAGCGGUUGGAGGUGGUGUAUGACGUGGCUGGUGGAAAAGUCGGAUUUGCCCCUGCAAGUUGCCCCUGAGUAAUGAACAUCGUCCAUGGGGCAUAAUUGUAACACAAACUGCUAGCUAUAGAAUAAAGCAUUGUGUUCCAUAUUUUUCUGUAAUGGGAUUGUAUUGGGAAGUAUCCAAUUCUUACCUUUCCCCACUACUUGUAUAAAAUAGUCUAAUGACCAAUCAAGCGAUAGUAUUUUAUAUAAUAAUAAAAUAAUCGAAUGUAUUGGAAGGAAAAUUCCAACUCAAAUACAAAAAGGGGUUUAUUGCCCUAAUCAAUUCUCCUAACUCACGUAUGUUGUCGGUGUUUUGAAGUAAUGCCACGUGUUAAUGUGCUGUUUCUCUUUUGAAAUAGCAAAAGUAGAACACUAAUCUCCAUCUCCUAGUUUGGGCUUGUUUUGCUUUUGGACUCGACCAGGCCAACUUUAGCACAAAAUGUCUUAAGAAGGACCUAAAAGAAAAUAAAAAAAGAAAAGGUCAAUGAAUUGGGAAGGCUUUGGCUUGGGCUUGGGGUGGUUCAGCUUCAAAUUUUAACCAGUGCCUAGGGUUCAGUGUAUUGGUUUCAGCGGAAAGGCUCGUCAGUCUGCAGUCUGUGUCUUGGGCUGCCUAUCCUUAACUAACCACUUUCUGAUUGCUUUGUGUAUGGGCUUUUUUUUUUCGGCAGCUACAAAUGGGCUAGGCUGCUAUAAGGAGCGAAUUGAUAAAAUUAUCUCUUGUGUUUAAGUUCAAAGAUCAAGCCCCAAGAAUGCUUCUAAAGGAUAGUGAAGCCUUAAGAAACACUUUGGUUACCUUCACCAACAAAAAUAACAACAGCUUACAGAUAAAUUCUUAGCUUGGCAUGAGAAGCUUGUGGCAUGGGAGCUAAGCAUUCAUGAAUUUAGCAUGAGAGAGAGAAAUGAUUGAGAUUUCCUAUGAGAAAUAGAGUUUUUAAGGCAUGAGGGAAGGGAUUCUAAAAGGAUUUGUUGUGGAGAGAGAGGGGGAGAGAGAUGAGGGCAAUGGGUGGCUUAAGUGUUUUUCCACCAGCUUGACAGAGGCUCUGUCAAAUGUUAAAACAGUCUACCAAAAAAGGGAAAAUGGGAGAGAAUGAUGAAUAUAGCACGAAUUUGCUAGGUUUUGCAAGUGAGAGAGGAAGCUUGCUCUCUGGACGUGGUUGUGGCUAGUGGUGGAGUAUUGGGUGUUUUUGGUAGUUUUUCAGCAGCCUGACAAAAGCUUGCCAGAAGAGAAAAUAGAAGGAGAUGGAGGAAUAGGGCACGAAAUUGCAGAGUUUCAGAGAUGAGAGAUGAAGCUUGCUCUCUAGAUGUAGGUUGAGAUAAUUGGUAGGAAAUGCUUCUUUUUAUAGGCAUUAGAAGCUACUUUUUUUCAAGAAACCCUAAUAGUUUCUAUCCAAUUUGGCCAAGCUUUUUUCCUUCAUUUCUUCUCCAUUCCUUUGACUUAUCCUAUUUGGUGAAAUUCUCUCUGCCCAAUUGCACAAAAACAGAGAUUUUGGGAGCUCAAUGCUCUUCUCACAGCUGCCUCAGUAGAGAACUCCCAUUUUCAGCCAUCUUUCUUCCUUCUUUACUCCCCUCUUCUAUGGCUAGAUCUGAUGGGGGGGAAAGAAAUGGGUAUGUACACUGGUUUGAAGGGUGUUUUGCUCAAGUAUCCCUUGGUUUUUCUGAUGGCUUGCGUUGGAUUUGUCUUUGGCCAUGUGCUGGAGAUUCCCAGCAGCCUGCAAAUGUGAGUGGCUUUUGGCUUUUAUCAUGGUUUUGUCUCCAACCAUGUACCGGAGACUUUCAAAUAUUUUGUUGGUCACUUGGGCCAUUCUUUAAGGUAAAGGCGCUAGUUCACUAAAGGGAUGGGCCAACUUCCCAAAGUGAUGGGCUAUCUUUUCUAAGGUAAUGAGCUAUUUUCUCUCCUUUAUGUUUACCCACAUAUUUGGGCUCAAGAAAUGGACUUGAGUUUCGGGAUUCCCAAGCAGCCCAAAACUUCCAUUUCUCAGCUCAUCAAUAGGCCUCAUGAAAGCUCGUAACCAUCUAUACCACAACCCAAUCAGCAAGCCCAAGGCAUUCGCGUGGCUUGGGUCCACUUAAACUUGUAGUGUGGCGUGUUGCUUAUUUGCUUGGCGUGGCACGUGUGCAAGCGUAUAUGAUGAACUCUUGCGUACCUAAAUUAGGUUUCUUCCCAAGUUAGGUGUCGUACUAGGCCGAGAAUUUAUUCGGGCCCAACAGUGGAUUUUUUGAACCUCAACACUUAGGUAGCAAAAAUCAGAGGACACAGAGAGAUAGAGAGAGGGAGACAGCCACAGACCAUCAAGUACUUUAAGUUAGGUUUGAUUCAUGAUAUUAACUGACUCUUAUAUUUGCUUUAAUAUCCAUGUGGAUGAAAUUUAAAAUGUGAUAUCAUGUGGUUAAGUAGUGGUGUAGGAUUUGUCUUUCAAUGGUUUCAACCAAUUUCGUGGAUGUUAAGAUUGAUAUAGGUUGGUUGACAAUAGGUAGAUCGUCCUUAUCGUUUCUAAUCCUAAUAUGACAAUGCCUUAUAUUAAUUUUCUAAUUUUUGGUUGAAUAUCUUAUUUGAACAAAGGCAUCUGAAAAUUUGAUCAUUUUGAUGUGUAGAGGCCAUUGUUACACUUCGCAAAGAAAAAUAAUGUAUAUCUUUUGCUGGACAAAAUUACGCUUAUAUAUAUGUGCUGGCUAGUGUGUUCCAUUUCUUUUUGUUUUGUUAUUUGGCAAAUGUUACACUUUUGUACAGGGGAACAAUACCACCCAUCUUUCCUUUUGAAGUGUUAUUUGAAGAAAAUGAUUUUGAAUGAUUUGAAAGAAUUACAUAUGCACUUUAAAAAAAAUGCAACCUUCAAAAAUACAUCCAAAUAGCUAAAUAAAGUAUUUCUUGUUUGUUUUAUGGGAAAUAUGAAACUUUGCUCCCACAGAUGAUAUUGACGGAGAAAAGAAAGAAUUUUCGUUCCUAAACCAAGAAGAGAAAUCACGUGGGUUUUUGAUCAGAAGAGGAGAUUGGAAUGAGUAGGAGGGUAUUUUAGAAAUUUUCUCCCCACUAAAAAUAUUAUCAAAAUAUUAAAUAGAAAGUUUCUUUUAAAAAAAGAAUAAAAGAUAGAGUCAAAAGUUAUUAACAGCUGGCGUCAUCUCAUUAGGCUGGGACACUGACGUGGACAGCUGACCAUAGCAUACCCAUGGCAGGGAAGUUUUUCUCCAGUGGAGGAGACUGUGCAGAAGAAGAUAGCCUUUUUUCUUAUGCUUUUCUUUCCUCUGCCCUUCUCUUUUCUAACUUGCUAUCAUGGUAUGGUUCUGAGCUUUCUCAUUCUCACGUCUUUGUUGUUGUAAUUCUAUCUGAGAAAUUUAUAAAAUUCUUCUCUGUAUUCUUUUUGGUCAGUUGGGUGAGUGCUGUUUGAUUGCCUUGUUGCUUUUUUUCUUCCCUGAUCUAGGGUUUAGGGUUUCAAACAUUUUAUUGAGCUUGAAGAGGAAGUGAUGAUGAUAAAGCAAGGACCUUUUGAUAAAGAUUACUACUUCCUGAUGUGGGCCUUUGACCAUAGAAAGAGAUCAGAUAAAGCAAGGAAAUGGGAGAAAAUAUACGCCCUUUGGCAUUUGAUGGUCCUUGUUGCUUGCUUGUAAGUUGUAAUUGUCGGUGAGCAGGCUUAGCUAAAGAGAGUAAAGGAAAGCAACAGUGAGAGAGAGAACUCUCCCUCCUCUCUUUUCCACACUUUCUCUCUCCAUCUUCUUUUCUUUAUCUCCUUUACUUUGCCACACCCAAAGCAAUACUUACUAAACUAACUAAUCCAAAAUGAUUAUUAAUUUAUUAACUGGGGUUAAUUGCUGCAGCCUUCAUCCCAAAGCAAUACUUACUAAACUAACUAAUCCACAGGCUUCUUGUGAGGCAAUCUUUUCUCUUAUUCAAUUACCCCAGUUAAUAUGAAACUGUUGAAAUCAAUAUUUAUAUAAAUACAAUUGCGAAAAAAUAUUUACGAAAUUUUGUAAGUAAUACGUAGAGCACGUGAUUUAAAAAAAAUAUCUCACAUAUGAGAAAGCGCGUACAAAAAGACUAAUAAAACAUAAACAAAAAGGAUAAUCCUCAAGGGGAGCCACUAAUUAUUGAUCAUAUACCAGACAACUCCCAUCUUUAUAUAACUUCCAUUUUCAUUUUUCUUUUAAUUUUGUAAUUUGUAAUUUGGAUUUUUGGGAGGUGGAGUGGGAUAAGAAUUAUAGGGUGCGGUUCGUGUACCUAGGAAACCGCCACGUUCUUUCUUUAGGAAAUUUGGGAUAAAGUUAAAAAAACAUAAGUUGGGAGGUAGUGAAAUUAAAAGCAAGGCCAUGUGUUUCAUGAAUCAAAAUCAGACAGUUUUGUGUCCCAGUGAUGCAGAGAUAUAUACAAAUAUCAUUUAGACUUUUGCUUUUGGGCUUUGAUCAGGAUCUGAUCCGUUAUCUCAUCACCUUUUUUUUUUCUUUUUCCUUUUUUUACUCUUCAGUUUCUGCAUGUGCGUUACACUAACAUCAUUACUAAUCUCCUUUUUAUCUAAGCUGUCUUUCUGUAAAGGUAACACUGAUAUUCCUUCCCCAUAAUUCAAAGAAAAAAGGAGUUUGAGAUGUGGAAAUAUGGAUUCCCGAAUCAAAACUUUUUGAUUUUGUUAACGAUUAUAGUGGGCCCAUCAGUACUGGGAAUUUGUCUGCUUAUUUUGAAUUGAAAGCUACCUCUUGUUGGAAAACCUUAAAAGUUGUUUCUUUCCAAGCCCACUUACACUUGCUGUGUAAACUAAUGAAGUCUACAUGAAAGCAAUCUCAUGUCCUAUUGUGUAUAUGCAUGUGCUUAAUUGGUGUAUAUUCUGUAGUACCACAACAGAAUGUUUAACAUUCAAUUGGGGCUAAUUCCAUGAUAGAGUGGUAAUUGAACAGUAUCAAUACAUCAAUAAGUGCACAGUUGGGUAUACACAAUGAUCAAAAGGAGACAAAACAUAACAGCGGUUUAAGUGUUUCAUAAGAGAGUAAAAUAGAAGAAAUUGAGAACUGUUCAUAAGCAAAUCUGCCCAUUCAUAAGCAUACGUCUAAUUAUAAAAUCAAAGAACAAGAUACUGAAUAAAAAUAAAGUGAGAAAGAGAGAUUGUUAAAUGCUCUCAGCAACCAAUCAUAUUGUAAAAUGAGAAAGAGAGAUGAUUGUCGUCAAACCUUGCUACAACGGCCGAGAUCUUUGGAUCCACUAGAAUCUCCCCUUUCAGCUUCAACCCCAGAUAUUUCUUUGUCUUUGUACCUCUCAACCUUGAAAGCCCUUGGAACAAGGUGGUUCUAUAUACCAGACAAAAGAAACCAAUUAUCAAAUUUAAUCAGAAACUCACAUUACCAACAAACAAAACCCAGCUAUCCAAAAAAAUUCAAGAAACCAAAAGACAAAGGGAAUAGAAAAAGCAAACUGACAUUUGAUUUCAAAAUCCCCAAUUUCUAGGGUUUGAACUGAUGAGAGCGAGGAGGAGAGAUGGACGAAAAGAUAGAGAGAGAGAGAGAGAGAGAGAGAGAGAGCACGCGAGCUUCAAGCUUCUCCCAUGGAAGCUAGCUUGAGUGAGAACCAGUAGCACAGAGCGAACCAGCAGAUCCAACGACAAGAGAAAAAAAAUUCAAGAAAAACGCAUUUGUUUUGUUUUGAAUAAUAAGGGUCUUUUUGCAAAUGACCCCAUUGGUGUAGUGGUUUGGAGUAUUUACUCCCUCAGACAAGGUCUUGGAUUCGAGUCCUAGCAUCCGCAUAGUGUGUGUGAGUUUAGUAUGCUAUCGCCCCUCUCAAUGAGUCCUGUUUACCUGUUACCAAAGUUCCUGUGGCCUCCUGUUUCCCUGCUAGUUUCGUGACAUGUGGCAAGCCACUUAACACCACUUAACUCUGUUAACUCUUUUUGCUUCUUUUUAUUGUUUGUUUUUUUUGCUUUUUCUCCCAGUUCUGCCCCUUGAGGGUUUAGGGUUUAGGGUUUAGAGCUGGUGUUUCGGCUCGAGUCCAUGUGUUGUUUUGGGCUGGUAAGGGAAAAAUGAGCGGAAAAGAUAAGAGAAGGUAGGGAAAAAGGGGGUGAAGGAGAAACUAAAAAAAGAAAUAAAAAAGGAGAUGAGAGAAAAAGAAAAACAAAGCAAAAGCAAAAGCAAAAAAAAAAAAGAAGAGAGAGAGAGAGAGAGAGAGAGAGAGAGAGAGAGAGAGAGAGAGAAUGUGGAGGUAGAGAUCUGGAAAAGAUAACAAAAAAAGAAGAAGAGGAGAGGAGACGACGGAGGGAGGGGGAGAGAAGAGAGAAAGGGGCAUAACAGGGAGAAAAAGAAAAAAAGAAAAAAAAAGCAAAAAGAAGCAAAAAGAGUAAACAAAGUUAAGUGGUUUUAAGUGGCUUGCCACAUGUCAUGAAAUUAGCAGGGAAACAGGGGGCACAGGAACUUUAGUAACAGGUAAAUCGGACUCCCUCUCAAUAGGAAAUAUCCACAAAACACAAAAGAAAAAAAGGUCUUUUAAAAUUUGUUUUGGAAUUGGAUUUUUAAAAAUAGACCUACCAAACGAGUUUUUGGGCUUUUGAAUUUAAAAUCAGUUUUUGAGUUUAUAAAAUUGGACUCAAAUCAAAUACCAAACAGACCCUUAAAGACUUAAUGUUUUCUUAAAAUAUUGCGUUUGUUUAUUUUAUAGAGUACAAUUAUAUGUUUUAAAUAAUUUUCAAAUUAUCUAAUAUUUUUUAAGAAUCAACUGUAAAUUAUGCCUGACGGUGAAAAUACAAUUUACCUCAAAAAUAACUAAUUAUUUGACGUUAUUUGACGUGUUGAGAAGGCUAAAUAUGGAGUCUACAGAAGUCUAGAGAGACUUGACUAGUUGACAUCCCUGUCUCCAAUUAGCCUAUAUAGGGCCAAGAGUAUGCUUACAUUACAGCAGCAACUCAAUAAUCUAGAGGCACUCUUGUUAAUUAUUCAUGGCAACUCCCAUUAUUUCUAGCUCCUCCUUCCUUAGGUUUUUCAUGGCUUUCUUCUCUGUAUUUCUAUGCCUAAGUCUCUGCUCUUUCGAGAACGGAUUUGCUUUGGCAGCAAGAGAUACAAAACCCCACCCUCUCCCACAUACCACUCACACAGUUGAAGUGAAGUCUCUUCUACCAGCAACCACCUGCAGCCCCUCCACCAAAGGUUAAUUCAUCCCAUAUUAUAUAUAUAUAUUAAUUUCAAACCCCAUUUUAUGUGCAUUUAUGUAUCUCUAACACACACACACACACUCUGUCUCUGUCUCUCUCUCUCUCUCUCUCUCUCUCUCUCUCUCUCUCUAUGCAUACAUGUUUCAAUGAUCUCAGGUCAUAACAUUAACAAGGCAUCAUCGGUACUGAAAGUGGUGCACAAACAUGGGCCAUGCUCCAAUUUCCACAAAUCAUCAAAAACUUCAACCACAACUUGUGAUGAAAAAUACCAUGCUCAAAUCCUCAAGCAAGACCAAGCCCGAGUCAACUCAAUCCACUCCCGCCUCAACCACAACAACAACAAAGACCCACUCACCCAAUCCGCCGCCACCACCCUCCCCGCCAAGUCUGGUCUCGUUAUCGGCACAGGGAACUACAUUGUCACCGUCAGCCUCGGUACACCCGCCAAGCAACUCUCCCUCGCCUUCGACACCGGCAGCGACCUCACCUGGACCCAAUGCAAGGCAUGUUCUGCUACUCAGUCUUGUUACAAACAGAGAGAGCCCAUCUUCAACCCUUUUCUCUCCGCCUCAUACAAAAAAAUCUCAUGUACCACCGCCGCGUGUACUCAGCUCUCAUCCAUCGGCGUCCAACACGGCUGCUCCGCCUCCACCUCCGCCUGCCUCUACGGCACCCGUUACGGAGACAACUCCUUCUCUGUCGGGGUCUUUGGCAGCGAAAAGCUUACAUUGACCCCGACGGACAUUUUUGAAGGUUUCCUCUUCGGCUGCGGCCUAAAGAACAAAGGCCUUUUCGGCGGCUCUGCCGGUAUGCUCGGUCUCGGCCGGAGCAACACCUCCAUCGUCGAACAAACCGCCAAUAAAUACAACCGGUACUUCUCCUACUGCCUCCCCUCCACCUCGUGCUCCACCGGCUACCUCAGCUUCGGCAAAGGCGGCAGAUCUUCCAAUGCCGUCAAGUUCACGGCCCUCUCCACCGUCCCCCUAGGCCACUCGUUUUACGGCCUCAAUGUCGUCGGGAUCAACGUCGGCGGAACUAAAUUGCCGAUUUCGUCUUCGGUCUUUUCGUCUUCGCGGACAAUCAUAGAUUCCGGAACGUUGAUCACGCGCCUGCCGCCGACGGCGUACAACGCGUUGAAGGCGGCGUUUCGUCAGAGGAUGAAGAGCUAUCCGCUGACUCAGGCGGUCUCGAUACUCGACACUUGCUACAACUUGAGCAGCUUCAAAACGGUGUCGUAUCCGAAGAUUUCGUUCGUGUUUGACGGCGGGCUUACGCAGGAGUUGGACGCGACGGGGAUACUGUACGGGGUGAGCGCGGAUCAGGUUUGCUUGGCAUUUGCCGGAAACAUGGAUGACAGUGAGGUUGGGAUUAUUGGGAAUGUUCAACAGAGGAGGUUGAAGGUUGUGUAUGACGUCGCUGGAGGAAAAGUCGGAUUUGCCCCUGCAGGUUGCGCUUGAGUAAUGACGAUCGUCCAUGGGGUAUGAUUGUAAUACAAACAGCUUGCUAGCUAUAGAAUAAAUCAUAUUUCUGUGUAAUGUAAAUUUUGUGUGUUGGUAAGUCUGUGUCUCCUGGUUUUCUUUUUUAGGUUCUUAUUCUUAUUUUCUAAAUACUAGCCUCUUUGCACUCGCUUCCGCACUUGCAAAAGAUUUUUUUUAAAAAAAAUUUUAAAUUAUUUUAGAAUUAAAAAAGAUAAUGGGUAGUUGUGUUCCAUAAAAAUAGGAUCUUUUAUCUGUUUUUUUUUUUAAUUUUAAUUUUUAAUGUUUGCGUUAACCAAGGGUAUUUCUGACAUUUUGAAUGUUUCACCAUUCUCUGCCUUUUGCUUUAUAUAUAUAGAUAUAUUUAAGAUAAACCCAAAUUCGAAAUAUGCUGUCAUUUAAGAUAAUAUUUGUCCUAGUAUUAUCAAUUAAAUUACAAUAUGUGCCAUUAACCUUCAUUAAUUCCUUCGUUUCAUUGCAACUGUACUUUGAUUCUUUUCCUAAUAAACAGUGUAUAGUCUCUUGGAUAUGGAUGCACCCUUCCUGGCCUUAAAUUUGUAUUGAUUUCAUAAAAAGUAAUAAUAAAAAUCAUUUAUGUACUCAUUGGGAUUUUUAUUAUUAUAUAUAAAUGGCAUGUAUAUUAUUUUUACAAUGUACUUACAAUGUUGCUCAUUUCUAAAUAAAAAUAAUUUACUGAUGGUAACCUAUUAUAUUUUAUUCAUUAUAGGUAAAUUAUGUAUUUUUAAAAAGAGGUACGUUAUCUUUUAUUGAUAAUGUCAAUUUACCUGCUAUCUCUUAUCUAUAAUAAUUUACCUAUUAUCUUUUAUUCAUAAUAGGUAAAUUAUUUUUAUAAAAUACUAGCCUCUCUGCACGCGCUUCCGCGCAUGCGAGAGGUUUUUUUAAAAAAAAUUUAAAAUUUAUUUUAGAAUUAAAAAAGAUAAUGGAUAUUUGUGUUCUAUAAAAAUAGGAUCCAUUAUCUGAAUUUUCUUUUAAUUUUAAUUUUUUUAAUACAAAAAAUUGUGAAUUUACCAUAUUAUCCUGAUUUAAUUAAUAAUUUCAAUUCUUAAUGUUUGCAUUAAUCAAGGGCAUUUUUUGGUAUUUUGAAUGUUUCACCAUUCUCUGCCUUUUGCUUUAUAUAUAUAGAUUAGGUACAUUAUUUUCAAAAGUGCUUUAAAUAAAUUGGGUAUAUUAUUUAAAUCAUAAGUAAAUUCAUAACCAAAACUGAUGCAUAAAGAGUACUAGCCCCUUGGCACAUGCUCACGCAUGUGCCAAUUGGUUUUCUUUUUAUUUUUUAUUUUUAUUUUUAGAAUUAAAAAAAAUAACUGGGUAGUUAUGUUCCAUAAAAAUAGGACCUAUUAUCUUAUUUUGUUUUUAAUUUUAAUUUUUUUAAUAUUAAAAAGUGUGAAUUUACGAUAUUAUCCUCAUUUAAUUAAUAAUUUCAAUUCUUAAUGUUUGAAUUAACAAAGGGCAUUUUCUGGUAUUUUGAAUGUUUCACCAUUCUCUGCCUUUUGCUUUAUAUAUAUAGAUUAAAUUGCAGUUUUUUUUAUUUAUUUAAAGUAUUGAAUUGCACGCUAAUUCUGUGGGAGAAAAUUAAAACAAUAAAUUCAAAAACUAAGACUUAAUAUACCCACCACAUAACACAUGAACUUGUAAAUAAUGGUAGUUUUGGAAUCUGAAAAAUAUAAUAAAUUAUAUUUUAAGUUAGAUUAGGUAACUUACAUAUUUGAAUCCUAGUCAUCAGGUUUUAUUUGAAAAAAUUGAAUAUUUUAAAUAGAAAAAUAAAGAGAAGGACUAUAGGUGAUUAAAAAUGAAUUUUAUGGGUCUAAGUUCAAUUUACUUUUUUUAAAAAAUAUAACAUUUUUGUUGUAAAAAGCAAAGAGAAGACAAUAUAAUUUUUAUUUUUGUAAAUGUUCUUAACAACUUGAACAACAACAACCAUGUCCUAGUUUUGUUUGGGCUUGAAAUAGUUUGGACCUAAAUUGUGUUUUGUUUUUGUAUUGAACCAAGCCAAUCUGAGCCCAUAAUGUCUGAAGAAAGAACCAAUUAGUGAACAUUCCAAAGUUUGGUGAACGGAUAUAGUUAAACUGAUUGUUUGAUUAGCUUAACUAUGGACUCUGUUGACUCAUUGACUUUGGGACCCAUGAGUAGUCGUGACUAGGAACAGAAACGCAUGCAUGCAGUACCUUCCUUCCAAACUCCAAGUCCACUUGGCAUUAUAUAGACAGAGGGAACCUUCUUCCUUUCAUUAUAUUUUUUUGUCUUUGCCUUGUAGUUCCUUCGGUUUCAGGCAACACAGAAUUCACGGGUGAAAGAUAAUUAACGUAAGAGAACGGGUGGUGGACAAAGUCGAUCGACCAGAAACAAAACAACAAAAAUUUAAUGGGUUACAGCGGGGGUGUGAACGUUUUGAGAACGAUGGUAUGGAGCAGAUGCUAGAAAAUUAAACCCUCCAAAUAGUUUAUAUAAGGCUUGUUAGGCUUGCUAGGCUUGUUAACCAUAUUCAUUUCUAGCUCCUCCUCUUUCCUUAGGUUUUUUAAUGGGUUUCUGCUCUGUAUUUCUGUUCCUAAUUCUCUGCUCUUUCGAUAAGGACAUUGCUCUGGCAGCAACAAGUCCAGAACCCCACCUUCUGCCACACACUACUCACACAGUUGAAGUAAACUCUCUUCUACCAGCAACCACCUGCACCCCCUCCACCAAAGGUUAAUUCAUUUCAAACCCCAUUUUAAUUACGUGCAGUACGCAUCUCUCUCUCUCUCUCUCUCUCUCUCUCUCUCUCUCUCUCUCUCUCUCUCUCUCUCUCUCUCUCUCUCUCUCUCUCUAUAUAUAUAUAUAUACAAGACUAGAGUUUAAUUACGUGCAGGACGUAUUUCGUUAGGCCUUGCUAUAUAGGCUGUUAAUUCCAAUGGCGCAUGGGACUAGAGUUUGCUAUUAUAUACAUAUACUGUGAAAUUCCCUCUAAUAUUCAUAUGCAUAGAAAAACAUACAAUUUUUUUUUUUUUAAGUUUAGCACAUUAAACUUAUACACACUAUACAAAUGCUAUGAUUCGAACUUAUAACCUUUCAUAAAAAUACAAUUGUUCUAAAUCACUACACUAGUUGAUCAUUUUCUUUUUAAAAACACACACACACACACAUAAAGAACCCCGUGUUUGGCAAAAAAAAACAAAGGCUUCUUAGAUCUAGGUCCAAAACGAUUAGUUAUCGUUGGGUUUGGUCCGCGUGUUUUUGGUUUUAGAUGCAGGUCCUUUGAUAUUUAUUAUUUUUUUUAUUGUGUCGAUUUUACCCUUUGAGGUAAAUAAGGCAAACACAUUUAAAAUCUAAAUUUAAUGCAUUAUUUCCUUAUAAUUGAAUUUCUUAAUUUAAAUUUUGAAUUCUUUCCUUUAUAAUAUUUACCUAAUAUAUGCAUAAAAUACAAUUUAAUCAAUGAAAAGUAAAGACCCACAUAUUAUAUCAAUCGAUUAGACAAACACCCAUAUGAAUUUAUGUAUCUAACAUAUAGGUAAAUAGUGUUAUUAUUAGCAACGAAAAAAAUGUAAUGAUAAAUCGUGUUACCUAUAAGUUAGGAACUUAAAUUAAAAGACUGCAUAUAAGUUAGGAACAUAAAUUAGAAUACUAUCAAUAAGGUAGAUACAAAAAUAGACAAAUAAAAAUUGUAUGUUACCUAUAAAAAAUAUGUAAAUAAAAUACUAUUAUACAUUGUCGAAAAUAUGAAAAAACACAUAUAUAUACCUAUGCAGUAGGCAAUAGAACAAUAUACCUACACUAUAGGAUUUCUAUUAUAUAUAUCUACAAGAGUAUGUAAUAUACCUCUACUAUAGUGUGAACAAAAAUAAAAAUUGUUACCUAUAACUCAAGUACUAAACGAUGUGUUUGCAAAUUGAUCUGGUUUUUCCUUGCAUGCAUCGAUUGGAAAUCGCAGAAAUACGUAGGUAGUUGUUUUAGAGGGAAAUGCCGUUUUGGAUCAUUAUUGAUCCUUUGUGUCUUACAAUAUAAAUUUAGCAAAUGAAUGUCAUCAUCCAUCACUACCUCUCUUUGAUCUGCUCUUGCAUGUGAUGUAUGUUUCCGUGUGCAUACAGAGGUACUAAAAGUUCCACAAUCAAAGCUUUGGUGGACAAUGUAUAAUAGUUUGUAACAACGUAAUUUUUGGGAUAUGCUUGCGAUUUUUUUUUCGUUUCUAUUCAAUGACAAACGUUAUAAAUGGCUAAUUAUUAUCACAUAAAGUACUAUUACCCAAUUCAAAGUAUAAGGGGCAACAUUGGAACAAAAAAUGAUUUUAAAAAAUUAAAAUUAAAAAGAUUAAAAAAGGAAUGUACUUCUAUGUGGCACAAAAGUCAAAGGACUUGUAUCAAAGUCACCAAAUCCGAGGAUUAAACCCAAUUUUUCAACGAAAAUUUGAAUCUAUAUCAACUUUUCUAUAAAAAAAAACCUAAACCAAAUUUACUCUAUUAAAUUUUUUUUUUUUAAACAUAGCCCGUGCCCCAUUACCUUUGUGUCUCUGUCACCCACAUGACAUGCAUGUUCUAGUUACCCGUAAACUGGAGGCAGGCAUGCACAGUCGGAUAGAAUUGUGAAUAUAUGCAUAAAGAGUCACAUGUAUACAUACGCUCAUACAUUUCAAUGACCAGGUCAUACCAAUGACAAGGCAACAAUAUUGGAAGUGGUACACAAGCAUGGGCCAUGCUCUAUUCUCCACAAAUCAUCCAAAACUUCAACCACAAAAAGUGAUGACAAAUACCACGCUCAAAUCCUCAAGCAAGACGAAGCCCGAGUCAACUCAAUCCACUCCCGCCUCAACUACAGAAUCCACGACCCAUUCACCCAAUCCGCCGCCGCCACCACCCUCCCAGCCAAGUCCGGUCUCCCUCUGGGUACAGGAAACUACUUAGUCACCCUCGCUCUCGGCACGCCGGCCAAGCAACUCUCCCUCGUCUUCGACACCGGCAGCGACCUCACCUGGACACAAUGCCGCCCAUGUCUUCGAUCUUGUUACACACAGAGCGAGCCCAUCUUCGACCCUUCUCUCUCCGCCUCAUACAAAAACUUAUCCUGUACAUCCGCCACGUGUACUCAACUCUCAUCCGCCGGCAUCCAACACGGUUGCUCCUCCGCCUCUUCCUCCUGCCUUUACCGCAUCCGGUACGGAGACGGGUCCUUCUCCAUCGGGGAUUGGCCAAAGAAAAGCUUACAUUGACCUCCAUGGACGUUUUUGAAGGUUUCCUCUUCGGCUGUGGCCAAGACAACGAAGGCCUUUUCAACGGCACUGCCGGUUUGCUCGGUCUCGGCAGAAACAACAUCUCCCUCGUCGAACAAACCGCCAUGAAAUACAACCGCUUCUUCUCCUACUGCCUUCCGUCAACUUCCAGCUCCACCGGUCAUCUCACCUUCGGCAACGGAGGAGGCUCCGCUAACGGCGUCAAGUUCACCAAGCUCACCACGUUAUCCGAAAGAGCGUCGUCGUUUUAUGGCCUCGGCCUCACCGGCAUCAGCGUCGGCGGGCGCCAGCUGCCGGUUGCGUCCUCGGUCUUUUCGUC
rnacentral:lncRNA from 1 species